UUGACUGGCCUAAGAAACGACAAUAUUCCAGGUUUGGUUGGCCGUAAACCCCUUAAUUUUUAUGAACAGUGAACACUACCUAAAACCCCGCAGUCACUCAGCCCAGGUCAGGCAGGGCAGAGCAUCCAUAAACGCAGAGCGAACAAGAAGAAGAAGAAGAAGCAAAAGCAAAUGGUGAACAAAGCAUGGAAGGUCAUUCCAAGACCUUUACUGGAAACGAUCCUCAACAACCACGCCCAACACCACCGUGUCCCUCAACCCCUCAUUCUCCACGGCCCCCGUGGCGUCGGCAAAACCACUCUCAUCCUCGACCGUCUUAUUGGUGAAUGGAACAAAGGCCCCCACUUAACCGGCUAUGUAGACUUCGCUCAAUCAAUCAAAGACCACCAUCCCAAUUUCGACGGCUCCUUUCCUUGGUCCUCUUGGUCCACCUGUGACCGACCUUCUUUAGCCAACUGCCGAACCCAACUCGAAAACUGCCUGGAAUCAAUGGCUUAUAAAGGUGUCAAGCUUGGAACCAUUAGCUCCCACCAAAUCUUCUCCACUCUCAACAAAUGGCACGGGCUAAACACUGCACUGCGCCAGAUAUUAAACCAAAACGCUUCUAAAACUGCUAUUUCUACUAAGGUUUCAAGCUCGGGUUUAUGGGAUCGAGCGGUUUUUGCAUUAUCUGCUCGAUUAAAUGCCGAAGAGAUUGAUGAGGUUUUGGAGUUUGAAGAGAAAGGGAAGAGUUUGUCUAUAGAAGAGACUUCUUACUUUAGGGAAGCUAUUGUGGCGUUGAGAUUGGCGAAGGAGGUGAUUACGGUGCACCAAAAGUGGAGAGCUAAUGCCAUUGCUGAUUUGAAUAGGAGUGGACGGUUUUCAAGGUCGCUAGCUCAUUCAUGUACGGAUUGGCCUUGUUUGUUGCUUGAGUUGCUCUCUCAAGCUGCUGAGAUUGACCAGUUUCAGCCAAAGUUGGUCAUAAAUAAUAUUGAAAUUCUUCGGAAUGCGAUAUUAACGGAUGACUCGACAGUGUGUGGAUCAAUGUAUCAUGACAGUUUGAUAUGGAGAAUAAUUGCUUUAGGAGCAAAUGAGCGAUGCCUCCCUGUUGUACUUGUGACAUCAGAUAGCUACUAUUCAUAUCGAGCUUUCAUGGAUUUUGGGUUUCCAGAUAUAUUCAUCUCUCGUGAGACCUUUGGUUGGACUCCACAAGAAGCUAAACUACACAUGGUUACCGAUUACUUCACUCAUGCGGAGUGGAUGGUGAUAGAUGAUGUGCUUGGGCCAAACCCUCGACAUCUAUUUGAGCUUUAUGUGCUCAAACAAACCAACUAUUACCAGAAGUUGAUGGAAAACGAGGCAACUAUAUUUGAAGACAUCAUGGAUGCAUAUUUAGCAUAUUUGCAGGUUACUGUAGUGAAUCCGUCAAUGAAUAAAGCACUGAUGCUCCUACAAAAGUUUGCCAUUGACGCACAAAGUGGAAAGAUUUUAGAAGAUAGAUUACGUUUUGGUGCUCCUUGGAGACAUCCUCCAUCAUCCAUGGACCCUACGACAUGCAUGGAAUGGGCAAAGAUUCAACUAAUGGAUUUUGUUCAAUCUCUAGUUAACGCAGAAUUUGGUGUUAAUUAUCUAGCUGACUGUAGCCUAGAGAUCUUGGAUGAUCCAGCUGCCGUUGCAUUAGUGGAGGUUGGCUUGCUUUAUGCUCAAAGGGAUCCUUCUUUCCUUCGCCCCAUCUCUAAAGGUGUUCAGAGGUGUCUUGCAAGAUGGCUUGUCCAGGAGCGGAUGCAGUUGAGUUACCAGAACUUGCUUCAGUAUCUGUGGCAGCGCAUUAUACGUGGUCGUAGCUACCGUCAUUUGAUGCUUCAAGUGGGCUAUGAUAAAUAGAAAAUAGGAGAGGACAUGGAGCACAUCAAACUAGAGAUUCUCCUGGCAUAGAUGUCGUUCUAAGAUUCACUUAAAGUGUAGGUUGCUGUCAGAUGUGCCUGCUUUUUUUUGAGAUUGGGAACUAAGAACUUGACUAAACUAUUUUGUGGAUGCAUUGCUAUCAGAGACGACUUUUGAUACUAACAAGCUGACGUUUAUUGAAAAUGGUAGCUUGGGAUGAUCAUCUGUGUUACUGAGGUAUAUAUUUAUCCUGAACCAUUUUUCAGAAAACUUGUGCCGUGAGCAUUCAAUAAUCAUUUAUAUGUGUUCCUAUUUCAUUUAACAGUCCAUUAAGUAGGAUACAUUCAUUUUAGGGUGGUUUCUUAUGUUACAUGAUGAUAGCAGAUAGAAAAAAAAGGGUUUGUGGGUGGCGAUAAUGAUAUGCUGCCUCGUGAGUAAUAGGUAGAAGGAAGUUAUUUUCUUAUUUGUAGUUUAUUCUUUUCUAUGCUUCAAUAAAAAAGAAGUUGAUCUCUUCUGAGCCAUCAUCCAUGGAAUUUAUUCAGGCUGAGAGAUCGAACUUUAUCGUUUGCAAAUGCAAUUUUGCAUUGGUGAAAAUAUUAGGGGAAAAGGAAAAGCACUUGGCAUGGACCCUGAAAGAUCUAAAGUUGAAACGACUCAUGUUACUACUGAUCAUUGCAUGUUACUGCUAAUCAUUUAUUUUUCUUUUUCAACCAAAAGCAAGAAUUAGAAGUCGAUCGCCAUAACAUUAGGGAAAAAAAAAACCAAAGGUAAAAUCAAUCCAAUGCUACUCCUAUAACUUAGACCAAUUAUCUGUUGGGUGGGGAUAAGCCCAGUUUUCCAUCAUUAAUUAGCUGUUGCAAUACCUAACUCAUAAUCGCCGGAUUUCACGGCUUUUUGAC